CUACGGGUUGCUGCAGUGGGGAAUAUUGGGCAAUGGGCGCAAGCCUGACCCAGCAACGCCGCGUGAGGGAAGAAGGUUUUCGGAUUGUAAACCUCUGUCCUUGGGGACGAAGAAGUGACGGUACCCAAGGAGGAAGCUCCGGCUAACUACGUGCCAGCAGCCGCGGUAAUACGUAGGGAGCAAGCGUUGUCCGGAAUUACUGGGCGUAAAGGGUGCGUAGGCGGCAUAUUAAGUCAGGUGUGAAAUACUCGGGCUCAACCCGGGGGCUGCAUUUGAAACUGAUAUGCUAGAGUGUGAGAGAGGAAAGUGGAAUUCCUAGUGUAGCGGUGGAAUGCGUAGAUAUUAGGAGGAACACCAGUGGCGAAGGCGACUUUCUGGCUCAUAACUGACGCUGAGGCACGAAAGCGUGGGGAGCUAACAGGAUUAGAUACCCGGGUAGUC
rnacentral:rRNA from 1 species